rnacentral:tRNA from 1 species
GGGGAUUUAGCUCAGCGGUAGAGCAUCUGCCUAGCAAGCGCAAGGCUCUGGGUUCGGUCCCCAGCUCCG